UAGUUCCUUUUCAGCAACAUGUGAGAGAGAAUGAACACAAGUAAACUUUAGUGUCACCAUAGAGAAUAAGGUCAGUUAGAGGGAUGACCUUGCUGAAAAAGUGACAGAGGAGCCAGUCCUUGUGCAGCAAAGAAGAUGUGAGGAAGGAGACCAGACAACAAAAGGAGAUUUUGCAACAAUAAGAACAUAGUCAAGAUCAGGAGAGGGAAGGAGAAUGAAAUUGGUAGUAAAAAAAGAGCAAAUUCACAAGAAUAUCAGGUCCACAACAGACAGUGUCUGCAAACACCCUCAGAUACAGGAUCUGCAGCCUAUGCCAGGCCAAGAAGACAAGUUUCAUUGGGCAGUUGAGCACAUUAAUCAAGCAGAGGUUCUUCAUGGGACAGACAAGUGGCUUCUACAAAUAUUUAGACAUAGCCUGAUGGACACCUGCUUCAAUCUCUCAGAAGAAUCAUUCUGUCAGGAUGACCAGACAUGAAGAAUCAUAGAAGUGUAGGAUGGAAAGGGAUCUCGAGAUGCCAUCUAGUCUAAUACCCUGCACUCAAGCUCUUUUCUGAACCCUCUCCAAUUCAUCAACACUUUUCUUGAAUUGUGGACAGAAGAACUGGACACAGUAUUCCAGUAGCAGGCUCACCAGUGCCAAAUACAGAGGUAAAAUAAUCUCUCUACUUCUACUAAAGAUUCCAGUUUACGCAUCCAAGGAUCAUAUUAGAUCUUUUGGACACAGCGUUCUUGUUCAGCUGAUU